rnacentral:lncRNA from 1 species
UUAUCUUCUGUUUAAUUGAAAAUAUACUCGACAUUUUGUGUUUUAUUAAGAUAGAGAAUAGAGAGAAACCUCUUCAGGCGAAAUUCUAAAUCAAUUUCUUCUAAUCUUCAAUGAAAAUCCAUCAAAAAAUGAUAAUACGGCAUUCAGAAUGAGUAGGAAGGUCGUAAUAAUUCAAUCAACAAAAAUUCAGAAUCAUUUACUUUCUUCAUCAUUAUGCCGCAUCAUCCUUUUCCAGAUAUAGUCCAAGCAAUCGAUUUUAAAAUAAUGAAUAAAAUAUAAAAGAAGAUGAAAGAAUUCCUCUCAGACAAAUGCCUCGAUUUGUCGUCACGAUUUUAUGUCGAAUGGAUUUCGAUCGGACUCGUCAUCGUAAUUUAGACAUCACUGAGAAAUCCAACACAGAAAAUUAAAAUCUACCAGAUGAUAAGAAACAGAGAAAUAAAGAAAAUUUUGAAACCGAAGAAAAACAAAUAUUU